AAAUGUAUGUUGACGUAUUCUGAAAGGGAGUACUUCUUCGGACAAUAUACAAGGUGCUGCAUGGUUGUCGUCAGCUCGUGCCGUGAGGUGUCGGGUUAAGUCCCAUAACGGGCGCAACCCCUAUCAUUAGUUGCCAUCAGGUCAAGCUGGGGACUCUAAUGAAACUGCCUACGCAAGUAGUGAGGAAGGUGGGGGAUGACGUCAAAUCAGCACGGCCCUUACGUCCAGGGCUACACACGUGCUACAAUGGCCGGUACAAAGGGCAGCUACCUGGUGACAGGAUGCUAAUCUCAAAAGCCGGUCUCAGUUCGGAUCGGAGUCUGCAACCUGACUCCGUGAAGCUGGAAUCGCUAGUAAUCGCGCAUCAGCCAUGGCGCGGUGAAUACGUUCCCGGGCCUU
rnacentral:rRNA from 1 species